GCUGUGCCUUACCCUAAUCUGCUAAUUGGAAUGGAUUACGGAAAGAAAAAAGUAUAAAGAGAAAAAUGAAACAACAGAAGGAAAGGUGCAAAUCGAGAAACUGGAAGGGCUUAUCUGGCACAAUCACAUGGAUCUACCGUAAGAGCUUGAUCAGCCAUUCUGAUGUCUGCACACACUGGGAACAGAUAGGGUGUUAACAUUUCCUGGAACAAUGCUUUACCAAUGGGCAGGAACUAGUAGGUAAGUAUUCUCUUUUUUCCAAUCUCAGAGAUUUCUAAGGCACAUUCCAUACAGCUGUUGAAAUAUCACAAACAGGAUUAAGCUCCAGUUUUUCUGUAGUUGUAAUCAGCUCAGUAACCUUGGAUUGGCUGCUUUUCUUCUUUCCCA
rnacentral:lncRNA from 10 species